CCUACGGGUGGCAGCAGUGAGGAAUAUUGGUCAAUGGGCGAGAGCCUGAACCAGCCAAGUCGCGUGAGGGAGUACAGCCCUAUGGGUUGUAAACCUCUUUUGUCGGGGAGCAAAAGCCGGACGUGUCCGGCUGUGAGAGUACCCGAAGGAAUAGCAUCGGCUAACUCCGUGCCAGCAGCCGCGGUAAUACGGAGGAUGCGAGCGUUAUCCGGAUUUAUUGGGUUUAAAGGGUGCGCAGGCGGAUUUUUAAGUCAGCGGUAAAAUCGUGGGGCUCAACCCCAUCCAGCCGUUGAAACUGGGGAUCUAGAGUGUGCGAGGGGUAUGUGGAAUGCGUGGUGUAGCGGUGAAAUGCAUAGAUAUCACGCAGAACCCCGAUUGCGAAGGCAGCAUACCGGUGCACAACUGACGCUCAGGCACGAAAGCGUGGGUAUCGAACAGGAUUAGAUACCCGGGUAGUC
rnacentral:rRNA from 1 species